rnacentral:rRNA from 1 species
UACGUAGGGACCAAGCGUUGUUCGGAUUUACUGGGCGUAAAGGGCGCGUAGGCGGCAUGACAAGUCACUUGUGAAAUCUCCGGGCUUAACUCGAAGACGGCCAAGUGAUACUGCUCGCGCUACGAGUGUGGAAGGGGCAAUCGGAAUUCUUGGUGUAGCGGUGAAAUGCGUAGAUAUCAAGAGGAACACCUGAGGUGAAGACGGGUUGCUGGGCCACACUGACGCUGAGGCGCGAAAGCCAGGUAGGUACGCAAACGGG